GACACGCUGGCGGCGUGCUUAAUACAUGCAAGUCGAGCGAGGCCUUGGAAUUGGAGUCCUUCGGGAUGAAGAGUCCUUGGCCUAGCGGCGGACGGGUGAGUAACGCGUGGGCAACCUACCCCAAAGUCCGGGAUAACAGUGGGAAACCGCUGCUAAUACCGGAUGGCUUUACCUGAGGGCAUCCUUGGGUAAAGAAAGGUUACGCUUUGGGAUGGGCCCGCGUCCCAUUAGCUAGUUGGUGAGGUAACGGCUCACCAAGGCGACGAUGGGUAGCCGGCCUGAGAGGGUGAACGGCCACACUGGGACUGAGACACGGCCCAGACUCCUACGGGAGGCAGCAGUAGGGAAUAUUGCGCAAUGGGCGGAAGCCUGACGCAGCGACGCCGCGUGAGCGAAGAAGGCCUUCGGGUCGUAAAGCUCUGUCCUUGGGGAAGAAGGCGAAAGCUUGACGGUACCCAAGAAGAAAGCCCCGGCUAACUACGUG
rnacentral:rRNA from 1 species